rnacentral:piRNA from 1 species
UGAUAGUGAAGGAGGUGCUCCCUGGA